UUUCCAAGAUCAACCCGACCUUUGAUGCAGGAGAACUCACUGACAUGGGCCCGAAUAUAUAGGAUUUUUAAUGAUUUUGGUGUCUAGAUAGAUGAAUUACAAGCUUAAUGUAUGAAUUCUGGGAGAUGCGCAGUUUGACACUUUCAAGGUAAGUUUUUUACUGCCAAUUUUUUUCCUUCAUUUUCAUGCAAAAUAGGCAAUAUUCUGCACUAGAUCUUCCAUGUUGGCUUGCUUUCAGUCUUGGAUUAUGUAGUCCAUAUUACAUUUGAACUCUCUCUCUCUUGUGAGCCCAUGCUUUUAAUCAUUUGAAAGGAGAUAAUGCUUAUUAUAUAAAUGAACCAAUGAGUCAUCUACCAUAAUUAGUGAUAGAACAAUCAUCUUUUAGCAACAUAAUUGAUAUUACUUCAUGCUUUAUGAGUAAGCCUUGAACGGAAGUACCAUUAAUGAUUGAAAUUAUAGAAGAAAACAAAUUGAUGAAAACAUGUCUGAUGUUGACACCAAAUAAACAUUCAUCCAAACUAUAUAAUGAAAAAUUGCUUGUGUACUUGUGGUGUGAAAAUAGUAUUAUGAUUAUGAUAUCUUUGAUAUGUAUUUAGAGGUUUCAUUUCAAAUUUGCUGGCUUCUAAAGUCGCACUGAUAAAAAUCCAUGUUGACGACUUCCCGGUCUAAAAUUUCUUGCCUUCUAAAUUACCUGUUGAUGGAUAGCUGUAAUCACGCGAACCCUGGGUAAAUCAGAGUCGUCGCCUUCAAACCCCUUGUUACCCUUCAGUCAACGCCCUUUGAUUCCUGCAUGAAGAAGUCCUCGUACGGCAUCAGCAGGGUUAAUAUUCCACCUCUAUUUCCUCUGGGGUUGAGGGUCGUUAUUAUCAAUCAACAAUUAAGUUGGUUAGGGGAGGCAUUGUCAAGGGCCAUGAUUGGAUAUUCACGUAACUAAGUACCCAUCAGUAUUUUGCGCGACUUUUUUUUUGCGCUGUUCUUCAGUUAAUGUCUACUGUUUAUGUCUAAUCGUUGAAUUUUUCAGGCAUGGUUUUCUAUUUUUUUAAAUUUUGUUAAUCUGUGUGGCAGUCAUUCAUCUGCAAGUGGUAAUUAGUGAAGAAAUGUUUAAUAGCAAGUGUGGCAUGGUUUUUCUUUGAUAAAAGUGCACAAAAUGAGCAUUACUGAUGAUGUUGUUGGCUAUAAAGACAAGUACAGACUAAGAGGAAAUGAGGGGAGGGGGGUGGGGAUUAUUUCACAAACCAUUAAUGAUCUACUUUGAUAUUAAGCUGCCCGAUGAUGUAUGCUAUUAAUAAUUGAUAAGAAUCAAAGAUUGAAAAGAUAAGGCUGUAUUCAAACGUACACGUAUUCGGAAGGAAGACACUUGGGAGAUUGUGAUGACCUGAUCAAAACCGACAUGUAUUAAUUACUUCCUGCCGGUAUACCAAGUCAUAUAGAAAGAGGAAGAGACAGAGAUAGUGAGACAGAGAUAGAUAGAUAGAGAGAGAGACAGAGAGAGAUAGAGAAAGAGGUCUAGACAGAGAGGGUCAGAGAGGAACAGAGAAACAGAAAUUUAGAGCAAUUCAGUUUUGUAGGCCGUACCAGGCUAUACAGUACAUAGAACAAAAGCCAGAUUUAGAUAGUGGAAGCUUUCUGUCGGAAGUCGAUGUAGAUUCAACCCUGAGGGCAAAAAUAUAAAGAACACAAAAAGAUAAAACAUCCGCACAAUUUUUUUUUAUCUCCAUCCAGGUAUUCAAUGUGUGUUUAGAGUGAGAGGGGGUUUCACUGAUACAGGUACUUUAAAAUGUCCUACAAGCUCUUGUGGUGUGCAGGGAAGAAAUGCACAAAUGAAUAAAUUGAUGAUGGAUGUACAUGUACUGUAUGCUAUUUAUAAUAUUUCAAGAGAAACGCAUUUCAAAGUUAUAAUAACCUUCUUUGAUUACAUCGUUCAUUUCAGUGUGUAUGUUGUCAAAAUUGUGUACAGCGAUGUGUUAUGUUGGCAUUCAAAACUUUAAAAACUUGACAAAAAUGUAAUUUUACGUCCUUUUCCUAAGGAAUCGAAUUGUAGACAAAGUCCUGCAAUAUGUGUACAGUACACUUUACAUCCAUGUACAUGUAAAUGACCAUAACCUCUCACAAAUCUGUGCCAUCGUGAGCUGGACCAAAGAGAAAACAUACUCUGUGAAUGUAAUUACCCCUCUAGUUCAGCUAGUCAUUAGAUCAUUCACGUCACUAGGGGGACUCAUCCUCCUCAUCUCAUGCGUCAUGCA